UACGUAGGGACCGAGCGUUGUCCGGAAUCAUUGGGCGUAAAGAGCGUGUAGGCGGCUUGCUAAGUCUUGCGUGAAAUCUCGGGGCUCAACCCCGAGCGGUCGUGGGAAACUGGCAGGCUAGAGUGCGGGAGAGGAGAAUGGAAUUCCCGGUGUAGCGGUGAAAUGCGCAGAUAUCGGGAAGAACACCCGUGGCGAAGGCGGCUCUCUGGAACGCAACUGACGCUGAGACGCGAAAGCGUGGGGAGCAAACAGG
rnacentral:rRNA from 1 species